GGAAAGGCCUAAAAAAACUCAAUUAAAAGGGGAAAAGUUACAUAGAAAUGCUUCUUACACACCACUUUCUGCUUUACACUUUUUUGUUUCACACGCUUUUGGUAUUAAGAAGCAUAUUUCUCUUGUUUUAUUACACAAUGAAAAAGUAGUGUGAAAAAUGUGUGAUGGAAAAAGGGUAAACAUAACAUAACCAUGUUGAAAAAUAAAUGCCAAUCAAGCCAGUUCAGCUUGAAGCCAUUAUUGAUACUUUACCACAACCAACCUAAACAAAAACAAACACUAUUGUAACCCUACAAAAUAGCACCAUAACCAUGAUGCAUACAACUCCAAAACAAGUUCAAUCAGAGCCUCACAACCCUCUUAACAUAUUAGUAUUUGUAGUCCUUAACAUGAAGAGACUCCGAAGCACCAUCACCAAGGUUAGCAUUACCUUGAUAAGUUCCAAGAGUUGCUUCUGAAUUUGCUUUACACCUAACAAGCAAUGCAGCUUGAGCCUUAGGAAUGUUUUCAUCUUUUCCACCCCAUGCCUUAAGAGUACUUUGCUGAAGUGCCCUUCCAUAAGAGAAUGUAAGAGUCCAAGGCUUCUUUCCCUUAAGUUUGUUCAUUGCAUUAAGGUUAACAGAUGCUUCCUCUUCACUUUGUCCACCAGACAAGAAAACUAUAGCAGGAACCGCGGCAGGAACGGUUCUCAACAAUGCUCGGACGGUGUGUUGGGCUAUAACCUCAGGAGCAACUUUAGGAGAAUCUGAUCCUGGUGUAACCAUAUUAGGCUUCAAAAGAGUACCUUCAAGAAGAACAUGAUGGUCACUUAGAGCCUUGUAACAUGCUGCAAGAACGCGUUCUGUUACAUCAGCGCACUUUGCAAUGUCGUGGGGUCCAUCCACUAGAAUCUCAGGCUCCACAAUUGGAACCAAACCAUUCUCUUGACAUAUGACGGCGUAACGAGCUAAACCAUAGGCGUUUUCGUGGAUUGACAAGGGAGAUGGUUCAUUUGGACCGAUCUUUAGCACGGCGCGCCAUUUAGCAAACCUUGCACCAGCUUCAUAGUAUUUCUUGCACCUCUGACCAAGGUCAUCCAAACCUUGAGUUGUGGUUUCUCCGUUUGUGCCGGCAAGUUCAACGGUUCCCUUGUCAACCUUGAUACCAGGAAGAACUCCAGCUUUCUUCAACACAUCCACAAAGGGUACUCCUAUACACAGUUGAGAAAUAAGUUAGAGGUCAUAAAUAACAUCAAUUGUAAAUGUGAUAAGUUUUAUAUUUAAAAUUGAGAUGCAAAUGCAUCGCGGGAAGGAAAAGCAUUCCAACUAAGUUGACACCUCGGACCUCAUCAAUCAUCUACCACACGACAAGAAUUUAUUGAAGUUUAGAAAGAAAGGAAAUGGAAGGACUAAGGUCAUGUUUGUAUAAACAGUUUAAUUAAGCGCUUAUCAUAUAACUUCUUAAGUAAACAUCUAUUUCUAUAACAAAAAAUGAAAUAAAGUAAAAUUGUUUUCAUAUAAGCUAUAAACUGUUUUGAUACGCUAUCCUGGAGAACAUAUGGAAAUAAACUUAAAAAAGCUUUAGGAUGUUGAUUCUUUAAGCUCUCUUAAAUAGUCUCGUAAGUGUUUUUGCGAGUAGAUUAGUUUAAAUAAGUAAAUCCAAAUGGCCUUAAAGCCAAUACCUAUGACAGCAUACAAAAUCGUUGAAUUCUAAAAGUAGGAAGGUAGUCCUGCCUAAUGCAAAAUAAACAUUGAAGUGCUAGCAUUUGCUUGAUUGCAAUGUAUCUUUGAAAUGUUAUAAACAAUAAGAAUCUAUAAUACCUGCAGCGGUUUUCUGAUAUAGUGUUUCUUCGAACAAGAUAACACCACUUAGGCAGUCUAAACAACCAGGGGCAGUGAACAGGAGUUCGCGAAGAGUACGUCUGUUUGCUUCAACAUUCUCGACGUUGAUGCUGGCGAAUCGCUUGCCGAUUGUGCCAGUAGAUUCAUCAGCAGCAAGGAUACCCUUUCCAGGAGAGCCAAUGUAAGCAGCAUUGGCAAUGAGUUCAUCUGCAAAUCAUGUUAAGUUCUUUAGAAACUUAAACAAAGAGAAUAGAUAAAUUUUGAAUAUUUCAGUAUCAGCAAACCACAAGAAGUAAGGACACAAUUAACAUCACCUUGUUCUCAUUUUGAUUCACAAAGAGAAAAUUAACUAACUUGUUUCCACAAUUGAGUUAAGCUUUUCAGUUUUCACAAGGAUACAAAAUCAUCGACAAAUUUCUCUCUGUUUGUUCAUGGAUUAUCUAAGUCAUGUACUAUAUUGCUUUUUGUUAUGUUUUUUUUAGACAUCGUAAUUAAGAUAUUUGACUCUUUGGCGAGACCUCAAGUAUCGCCAUAGUUUGUAAUCUACUAUCAGAUUAAAUUUUCAUGUGGCUUAGUCACACUUAAACCUGUUAGACUUAUGGAAAUCGAACCUUAUUUCUUCCGCCACAAACUUAGUGUAUGUUUGAAUUGGCAGCGAUUAUGGCAGAAUCACUAUUUACCACGGUAAUUUUGGCAAAAGCUACAAUUAAAAUUUCAACAAAACCACAUUUAACCGUAAUUUUGUCAAACAAAAUAUCAAUUCAAAUAUGCGCCAACUGCUAGUUGCUAAUAGAACCACAUUCUAUCAGCUGGUAGUGUAACCAAUCUCAAGCAAGAUCAGAAUCUUCAUGUUAUUUGAAUAUCAAAAUAUACACAUGUAUGCAACACUUGUUUAUCUCUAUCUUACUCUUACUUUUUAUAUUCUACAACUUACACACAUUUUAAAAAUACACGUAAAAAUCAAAAGACACCCUAUUUGACAUCAAAAUUUCGAUGUCAAAAUAUCAUUUCUCUCCCUUAAAUUAGAGUUUGUCUUUUUUCCUCUUUUUUAGUACUUUUAGAAGAAUGAUCUUGUUCAUUUACCGCAAAUAUGCCUAAACGUAACCUCAAUACAUAUUUUACUUGAGAACCAAAAAACUCAACUAGUUCUCCAAUCAAAACACACAAUUAUGAAAAUUUAAAACUUUCUAUGUCAAAGUUCUUAAACAAAUAUCUAGAUCACAAUCACACACUCUUCUCUAUGCAUCUUGGAACAUCAGAGUAUAAAUCAGCAUGCAACGUAUAACAAAAAAAUUAUUUUAGAAACCGAUACUCAAAUAAAGCUAGUGCAGCAUAAAUGAUCAACAAACAAAGGUAAACAUGUCCUAUAAAAGGAAAAGAAAAAAAAAAAAUAUAUCCAAAAACACACAAAAUGAUGAAUGAAUAUUAACCUUCAUAUUUGCUCUUGAAAGAAGACAUGUUAGUGGCUUUUGAGAUGAGAGAAGAAAAAGAAUAGUUUGUUUUGUUUUGUUGUGUGAUGUUUGGA
rnacentral:lncRNA from 1 species